GAUGAACGCUGGCGGCGUGCCUAAUACAUGCAAGUCGAGCGAACAGACGAGGAGCUUGCUCCUCUGACGUUAGCGGCGGACGGGUGAGUAACACGUGGAUAACCUACCUAUAAGACUGGGAUAACUUCGGGAAACCGGAGCUAAUACCGGAUAAUAUAUUGAACCGCAUGGUUCAAUAGUGAAAGACGGUUUUGCUGUCACUUAUAGAUGGAUCCGCGCCGCAUUAGCUAGUUGGUAAGGUAACGGCUUACCAAGGCAACGAUGCGUAGCCGACCUGAGAGGGUGAUCGGCCACACUGGAACUGAGACACGGUCCAGACUCCUACGGGAGGCAGCAGUAGGGAAUCUUCCGCAAUAGGCGAAAGCCUGACGGAGCAACGCCGCGUGAGUGAUGAAGGUCUUCGGAUCGUAAAACUCUGUUAUUAGGGAAGAACAAAUGUGUAAGUAACUAUGCACGUCUUGACGGUACCUAAUCAGAAAGCCACGGCUAACUACGUGC
rnacentral:rRNA from 1 species